UGAUUGUUGUGUCUUUAUCAGAGAAAUUUGUGAAUAUUAAGCAUCCAUUCUAUUUUUAAGUUCCUUUUCUAGCUCUAUGUAUUUAUAAUUAUAUAACUUUUUUCUAGAUGGCCCCACUAACAAGCAAACAAAAGACAGCUUGCUACAGGCAGCGGAUCAAUGCAGACCCUGCAGGCAAGAGCUGACUAUCUUGCCAGGAAAAAAGAAAGCUACAGAAGAAGAUACAUGAAGUCAGAUGAACUUUCAGAGAGAGAGAGGAAGAAACAGAAAGCCAAGUGGAAGGCUGCAUCUAGAGGUUACAGGGAGAGGAAAAAGAUGGAACAGGCAAUGCUGGAACUGACACCACCAAUUCUAGUUAGUAUAGAGGUUGAUGAGCAAGAGACUGAAGGCUCAGAAGCGUAAACUAUGUGAGGAGAACCAAAAACUGAAAACAACUAGCAGAGAUGAGAAAAGAACAGUAAAGAGCCAGAAAGAGUGAGGUGAGGCCUAAAGAAAGGGCAUGGCUGAGUGAGAAGUUCAAGCCCAAAGGAAAGAAAAAAGUGGCAACACAGCAAGCAGUUGUUAGUUUUAUAACAAGAGAUGAGAACAGUUGCCUUUUACCUGGGAAAAUAGACACCAUCACUAAAAACAAAGUAAAUUAAAGCUGCAAGAAGCGAUGAACGGGCCCUCGCAGGACGUGCACGUUGAGCUGCGGCGCCGUCAGACUGCGCACUCACCUACUACUUGCAUAUCACAAUGGGGAGAAAACAAGCAGUAAACUUCAUGACAAUUGGACAGCAUUUGUCUGACUUCCUGUGUCCAGUGGGUGGUGCUAUGGAUAUGACACAGUUUUGAUGCAAAAAUACAUGUAGGGCGCCUCCCUCUACAUUCCUGAUAGAUUUGGCGCAGAUUGGACAUUGAAUGGUGAAGUUACAAGGACUUGAUGCUUCAUGGCAAAGGAUUUAAAUGAACGGCACCACCGCGGCCAGCAGUGACGUCAGGCGGCGGCGCCGUGGGAUUGUGCGCUCACCUGUUACUUUCACGUGAUGCUGAGGAGAAAACAAGCAGUAAGCGUCAUGUCAAUCGGAUGAUGUUUGUCUGACUUUCAGUGUCCAGUGGGUGGUGCUAUGGAUAUGACAGAGUAUGAUGCACAGAUCUAUUCAGGGCGAUUUGGCCGAGAUAGAAAAUUUUAUGAAAAAGGUAUGAGGACUUGAUGCUUCAUGACGAAGGAUUUUAAUGGCGGGCACCGCUACGGCCAGUAGGUAUGACGUAGGAUAAAGAUUUUCCUAGCGUGUCAUUGGCAUGGUCCGAGGAGUAUACUGACUGACUGUGAAGUCUGUGGUGUCCAAUCUGUAGGAGGAAGACGUGAAAGUAUGAUGUACGGAAAUAUUUCAAGAUGGCUGCCAAAUUCAAAAUGGCCGACUUCGUAUGGAUGUGUAGAUGUAUUCAGGGCGAGACUGUCUACAUGUAUGAGUAAUUUGGUGGAGCUGGGGCAUUGCAUGUGGAAGUUAUAAGGACUUGAUGCUUGACAGCAAAGGAAAAAAUGGCGUCGGACGUCACGCCCACCAGGUAUGAUACAGCUGAAAGAUUUCCAUAACUUUUGUUCUUUAAGGCAUUAAGAUGAUACUGAGUGAAUGUGAAGACUGUGGUGUUUAAGCUCUAGGAAAAGAUAGUUUUCAAAGUAGGCAUGAAUUUGUCAAAAACGCCACCACAAAUCAAUAUGGCUGACUUCCUGUUGGACUGAGAGUGUGGGUCCAAAUGGGCUUUUUGUGCAUCCAGUCAUGAUGAAUGUGCGGGCCAAAUUUCGUCCUUCUAUGUGCUUCUAGGAGGCAGGGCAUCACAAUAGGGGGCGCUACAGAGUUCACAGGUGAUGACCAUGCCCAGUGACAACACAGAUCUGUUCAGGACGACUUCCUCAACAUUCCUGAGAGAUUUGGUCGAGAUAGGAAAUCGUAUGAAGAAGUUAUGAGGACUUGAGGCUUCAUGACGAAGGAAUUUUAAUGGCGGGCACCGCCACGGCCAGCAGGUAUGACGUAGGAUAAAGAUUUUCCUAUUGUGUCAUUGGACUAGUCUGAGGAGUAUACUGAGUGACUGUGAAGUCUGUGGUGUCCAAUCUGUAGGAGGAGAUAACUUAAGCAUGAGGAUGUUCAAUAUGUCAAAAUGGCAGCCAAAAUCAAAAUGGCUGACAUAGUCUUGAUGCUGAGAUGUGUUCAUGGAGACAGCCUUCACACUAAUGAGUUUGGUGUGGUUAGGAAAUUGUAUGCUGAAGAUAUAAAGCCGUGAUGCUUGAUGGCGAGGGAAAAAAAAUGGUUUCCACAGAGUAUGACGAUAGAGUAUGAAGAUAGUUUUCAAAGUAGGCAUGAAUUUGUCAAAAUUGCUGCCACAUAUCAACGUGGCUGACUUCCUGUUGAAGUGACAGUAUCGGUCCCCCCAGACUUUUUUUUGCGCAUGAGGAAUCUGCAUAACGAAUUUCGUGCAUCUAUGUGCACCUGGAAGGCAGGCAAGAACAACAGGGGGCGCUACAGAGCCUGCUGGUCAUGCCCACACCCAGUGACAUGAAACUGUCAAAUGUUUCGCCAGAUGUGACGUACACUCCAAAUUUGGUGAGUUUUGGGGUAUGUUCAGGCUUCCAAAACAGCAGUUAAACCACAAAAGAAUAAUUCUUUCUCUUUCAAUUACAAUAAGGACCUUAAUAUCAACGACGCGUGCUUACGAAGCCACUUAAAGAACUACAUACACUGUACAACAGUGAGAUGGAGAAGAGUCUCCGCCUAUCUUACAGGCAGUUCAACCGAAAACGGCCCUUCUAUGUAACAGAGCCAAAGAUCCAAGAUAGGGAGAUGUGCAUGUAUAGAACAUGAAAAUGUGCACCUGCCGGCCAACAAGCUCUACAGCAGAGGAGUGUUAAAUACAAAAAGCAUCUCUGAACUGCUGGGCAUGAUAGUUUGUGACACCAAAAAGAGAGCCUGCAUGGAUCGCACUUUUGCCAAUUGCUGCUUUGAGACCGAGAGCAUCACACAAGUCACCUCGGAGCAGUGGAAGAGGGUGACAUCCACUAAUGGAGAAAAAACAUUUUCUAAUGUGGCCAAACAGACCCAGACCAGAACCAUAAAGGACUUUAUGGAGCUUUUCCAUCAGAAACUAGAAGCCUUGGCAGUCCACCAGUUCAACUGGCUGCACCAGGCAGAGCAGUUCCACCUCCUCAAACAAAACGUCAGAGUGUGAAACUGUUCUGCACAUCGAAUUUUCUGAAAACUAUGCCUGCAAGCUAAGCACAGAGAUCCAUUCCUUUCACUUCGGAGGCAGUAGACAACAGGCUACUAUUCACACGGCAGUCCUGUACACUGUCCAUGGAACCAAGUCUGACUGCCUUCGCUAUGAUGAAUGGGCAGUGUGGGCACAUCUAGAGCCUAUCUUGAAAGAGCUUUGGGAAACCUUCCCACAAAUCACUACCCUCCACAUUCCGAGUGUUGGGCCUGUUACACAGUACCGUAACAAAAAUAACUUUUGCUUGCUCAGUACUGUGCCUUUCCUCUCAAGAUUCACAAAUGUGACCUGGAAUUACUCAGAAAAAUCCCAUGCAAAAGGGGCCCCAGAUGGGAUUGGUGGGGCAAUAAAGAGAGAAGCGGAUCUCUGUUAACAGAGGAGGUGGGCUGCAGACACCAAAGACACCUGACGAAAUGAGGCUACACUCUCUACUGGUGACAAGUGAGAUGUUCACGCUGUCAUUUCAGAACCUGAGCCAGCAACCUCACGCCUCUCAAAGUUGACCUGCCAAGACUGGGUAAAGUUCAGAAAUGCCUGGGGUUAAAGAUAUGCCUCCAGAUUAAGCCUACAAUGUGUCUUGAGUUAGGAAAAUGCUAAUGUUGUUAUGUUCAAGUGUUUAAUGAAAUAGUAAGGAAAAUGCUAAUGUUAUGAUGUUUAUGUGUCAAAUGAAAAUGAAAUGAAAAUA